CUUCAAUGAAGAGAGGAUGACGAGUCUGACUGGAGGUAUUAUCUUUGCCAGGUGGCCCCUACUCCUUGCUGCGUUCAAAAGCAAAGAGAAGA
rnacentral:snoRNA from 1 species